AUUGUAGCGAAGAAGGGAAUAAGUAAAAAAACGAACUUUUAAGAGAGCCAAUGCGUGGUGAAAAUUGGUAAGUAAAUUUUUUGAAUCCAUCCUGGAGCUAGUAAUCUUUUAAGUGAACUUUAAAAAGGUUAAUUAGGGUGGCAACGCGGGCUUUACUCUCGUCCCUACU
rnacentral:ncRNA from 1 species